UACGAAGGGGGCUAGCGUUGUUCGGAAUUACUGGGCGUAAAGGGCGCGUAGGCGGAUAGUUUAGUCAGAGGUGAAAGCCCAGGGCUCAACCUUGGAAUUGCCUUUGAUACUGGCUAUCUUGAGUUCGGGAGAGGUGAGUGGAAUGCCGAGUGUAGAGGUGAAAUUCGUAGAUAUUCGGCGGAACACCAGUGGCGAAGGCGACUCACUGGCCCGAUACUGACGCUGAGGCGCGAAAGCGUGGGGAGCAAACAGG
rnacentral:rRNA from 1 species